AGAGUUUGAUCCUGGCUCAGAUUGAACGCUGGCGGUAUGCUUAACACAUGCAAGUCGAACGGAAACGAUGGUAGCUUGCUACCAGGCGUCGAGUGGCGGACGGGUGAGUAACGCGUAGGAAUCUGCCUGAUAGUGGGGGAUAGCCCAGAGAAAUCUGGAUUAAUACCGCAUAAUCUCUAUGGAGUAAAGGAGCCCUCUUCUUGAAAGGUUUCGCUAUCAGAUGAGCCUGCGUAAGAUUAGCUUGUUGGUGAGGUAAAAGCUCACCAAGGCGACGAUCUUUAGCUGGUCUGAGAGGAUGAUCGGCCACACUGGAACUGAGACACGGUCCAGACUCCUACGGGAGGCAGCAGUGGGGAAUAUUUGGACAAUGGGCGCAAGCCUGAUCCAGCAAUACCGCGUGUGUGAAGAAGGCCUGAGGGUUGUAAAGCACUUUCAAUUGUGAAGAAAAGCUAAUGGCUAAUACCCAUUAGCCUUGACGUUAACUUUAGAAGAAGCACCGGCUAACUCCGUGCCAGCAGCCGCGGUAAUACGGAGGGUGCAAGCGUUAAUCGGAAUUACUGGGCGUAAAGCGUGCGUAGGUGGUUUGUUAAGUUAGAUGUGAAAGCCCUGGGCUCAACCUAGGAACUGCAUUUAAAACUGGCAAACUAGAGUAUAGGAGAGGAAGGUGGAAUUUCAGGUGUAGCGGUGAAAUGCGUAGAUAUCUGAAGGAACAUCAAUG
rnacentral:rRNA from 1 species